rnacentral:rRNA from 1 species
AUUGAACGCUGGCGGCAGGCCUAACACAUGCAAGUCGAACGGUAACAGGAAACAGCUUGCUGUUUCGCUGACGAGUGGCGGACGGGUGAGUAAUGUCUGGGAAACUGCCUGAUGGAGGGGGAUAACUACUGGAAACGGUAGCUAAUACCGCAUAGUUUCUUUUUCCGCCUGGAAGAAGAAGGAAAGAUGGCCUUUGCGCUAUCACUGAGGGAUGGACCCGCGGCGUAUUAGUUAGUUGGUGGGGUAAUGGCCUACCAAGACGAUGAUACGUAGCCGACCUGAGAGGGUGAUCGGCCACAUUGGGACUGAGACACGGCCCAA